rnacentral:rRNA from 1 species
AAGCUCGUAGUUGAACCUUGGGCCUGGCUGGCCGGUCCGCCUCACCGCGUGUACUGGUCCGGCCGGGCCUUUCCCUCUGUGGAACCCCAUGCCCUUCACUGGGUGUGGCGGGGAAACAGGACUUUUACUGUGAAAAAAUUAGAGUGCUCCAGGCAGGCCUAUGCUCGAAUACAUUAGCAUGGAAUAAUAGAAUAGGACGUGUGGUUCUAUUUUGUUGGUUUCUAGGACCGCCGUAAUGAUUAAUAGGGACAGUCGGGGGCAUCAGUAUUCAAUUGUCAGAGGUGAAAUUCUUGGAUUUAUUGAAGACUAACUACUGCGAAAGCAUUUGCCAAGGAUGUUUUCAUUAAUCAGGAACGAAAGUUAGGGGAUCGAAGACGAUCAGAUACCGUCGUAGUCUUAACCAUAAACUAUGCCGACUAGGGAUCGGACGGUGUUAUUUCUUGACCCGUUCGGCACCU